rnacentral:precursor_RNA from 1 species
UCUCACAAAUCCUCCAAGAUCCGCAUGGGGAGAAGCUCCAAAAGUUUCGUGGUUGUUUAAUUUCAUGCUUGUUUGCUGCCGUUUUUCAUGUUGAUCUGAUCUUAAUAUAUGUAGCUGCUGUUAACAUAUUCUUUUAAUUUGAUGGAAGAAGCGAUCGAUGGAUGGAAGAGAGCGUCCUUCAGUCCACUCAUGGGCGGUGCUAGGGUCGAAUUAGCUGCCGACUCAUUCACCCACAUGCCAAGCAAGAAACGCUUGAGAUAGCGAAGCUUAGCAGAUGAGUGAAUGAAGCGGGAGGUAACGUUCCGAUCUCGCGCCGUCUUUGCUUGGACUGAAGGGUGCUCCCUCCUCCUCGAUCUCCUCGAUCUAAUUAAGCUACCUUGACAUGUGUUUUGAUCUGAUCUGCUUGUUAAUCUCUGCAGCUUUAAUCUGCAUGAUGAUAUGCAGCAUCUUGUUGCUUUAGCUAAGCUAGCUGUUUGGGCAUGAAAUGAUAGCACCAGUGAUUUGCUUUCUUUGCUUGCCUCUCUCUGCAAAAAACUACAGUUCUUUGCACUGGUGUGAUUACUGUUUCUCUGUUUGUUAUUAAUGAAGGUUAAUUAGUCGAUUAAUAAUAUGGAGGUCCAAGGUUCUUGUACUUUCCUUAGCCCGGGGCCC